GAUGAACGCUAGCGGCAGGCUUAACACAUGCAAGUCGAGGGGUAGAAGUUGCUUGCAACUUUGAGACCGGCGCACGGGUGCGUAACGCGUAUGCAAUCUACCUUAUACAGAGGGAUAGCCCAGAGAAAUUUGGAUUAAUACCUCAUAGUAUAAUUGAAUGGCAUCAUUUAAUUAUUAAAGUUCCAACGGUAUAAGAUGAGUAUGCGUCCUAUUAGCUAGAUGGUAAGGUAACGGCUUACCAUGGCAACGAUAGGUAGGGGUCCUGAGAGGGAGAUCCCCCACACUGGUACUGAGACACGGACCAGACUCCUACGGGAGGCAGCAGUGAGGAAUAUUGUACAAUGGGCGCAAGCCUGAUCCAGCCAUGCCGCGUGCAGGAAGAAGCAUCUAUGGUGUGUAAACUGCUUUUGUACGGGAAGAAACACCCCUUCGUGAAGGGACUUGACGGUACCGUAAGAAUAAGGAUCGGCUAACUCCGUGCCAGCCGCCGCCGUAA
rnacentral:rRNA from 1 species